rnacentral:rRNA from 1 species
UACGUAGGGGGCAAGCGUUGUCCGGAUUUAUUGGGCGUAAAGAGCGUGUAGGCGGCCAGGUAGGUCAGCUGUGAAAACUCGAGGCUCAACCUCGAGACGCCGGUUGAAACCAUCUGGCUAGAGUCCGGAAGAGGAGGGUGGAAUUCCUGGUGUAGCGGUGAAAUGCGCAGAUAUCAGGAAGAACACCCGUGGCUAAGGCGGCUCUCUAGUACGGUACUGACGCUGAGACGCGAAAGCGUGGGGAGCGAACAGG